AGCGAACGCUGGCGGCAGGCCUAACACAUGCAAGUCGAGCGGCCGUAGCAAUACGGCAGCGGCAGACGGGAGAGUAACACGUGGGAACGCGCCCUUCGGUUCGGGAUAACCCAGGGAAACUUGGGCUAAUACCGGAUACGCCCUUACGGGGAAAGAUUUAUUGCCGAAGGAACGGCCCGCGUCCGAUUAGCUUGGUGGUGAGGUAACGGCUCACCAAGGCGACGAUCGGUAGCUGGUCUGAGAGGAUGACCAGCCUCACUGGGACUGAGACACGGGCCAGACUCCUACGGGAGGCAGCAGUGGGGAAUAUUGGACAAUGGGCGCAAGCCUGAUCCAGCCAUGCCGCGUGGGUGAUGAAGGCCCUAGGGUUGUAAAGCCCUUUCAGCGGGGAAGAUAAUGACGGUACCCGCAGAAGAAGCCCCGGCUAACUUCGUGCCAGCAGCAGCCGUAACAC
rnacentral:rRNA from 1 species